ACGAACGCUGGCGGCGUGCUUAACACAUGCCAGUCGCACGGAAAGGCCCUGCUUUUGUGGGGUGCUCGAGUGGCGAACGGGUGAGUAACACGUGAGUAACCUGCCCUUGACUUUGGGAUAACUUCGGGAAACUGGGGCUAAUACCGGAUAGGAGCUCCUGCUGCAUGGUGGGGGUUGGAAAGUUUCGGCGGUUGGGGAUGGACUCGCGGCUUAUCAGCUUGUUGGUGGGGUAGUGGCUUACCAAGGCUUUGACGGGUAGCCGGCCUGAGAGGGUGACCGGCCACAUUGGGACUGAGAUACGGCCCAGACUCCUACGGGAGGCAGCAGUGGGGAAUAUUGCACAAUGGGCGGAAGCCUGAUGCAGCAACGCCGCGUGCGGGAUGACGGCCUUCGGGUUGUAAACCGCUUUCGCCUGUGACGAAGCGUGAGUGACGGUAAUGGGUAAAGAAGCACCGGCUAACUACGUG
rnacentral:rRNA from 1 species